CCUACGGGUGGCAGCAGUGAGGAAUAUUGGUCAAUGGGCGCGAGCCUGAACCAGCCAAGUAGCGUGAAGGAUGACUGCCCUACGGGUUGUAAACUUCUUUUAUAAAGGAAUAAAGUGAGGCACGUGUGCCUUUUUGUAUGUACUUUAUGAAUAAGGAUCGGCUAACUCCGUGCCAGCAGCCGCGGUAAUACGGAGGAUGCGAGCGUUAUCCGGAUUUAUUGGGUUUAAAGGGAGCGUAGAUGGGUGGUGAAGUCAGUUGUGAAAGUUUGCGGCUCAACCGUAAAAUUGCAAUUGAUACUGGCAGCCUUGAGUGCAGUUGAGGUAGGCGGAAUUCGUGGUGUAGCGGUGAAAUGCUUAGAUAUCACGAAGAACUCCGAUUGCGAAGGCAGCAUACUAAACUGCCACUGACGUUGAUGCUCGAAAGUGUGGGUAUCAAACAGGAUUAGAUACCCCUGUAGUC
rnacentral:rRNA from 1 species